AAGUUCUCCCCCUUUUCAGCAUCCCACAAACCCCUGUUCUAUAGCCUGCUACCAUGGAAGCAGCCGCUCGGGCACAGCUCAGAGCCCUCCUGUCCUCGGGUGUGAGGAAAAGUGUUACCAGACCGUCAUACUCUGGAUUCCAUGUCCAGGAGACACGGGAAGGGCCAUGGUUUUUCCUGUAAGUGAUGCUGAUUGUGCUUUGUUUGUCUAGACGCAGAGACCUGGAGAUCGAAAGACCUAUUCUGGGCCAAAAUGAUAACAGAUUGAAAACAUUAAAGUGUUCUACUUUACUGGUGGUUGGGGACAAUUCACCUGCUGUGGAAGCAGAUGGCAGACUGUGGAGGACUGCCCCAAGUAGUUCAGCCUGGGAAGCUCAUCGAGGCCUUCAAGUCCUUUUUGCAGGGGAUGGGCUACAUACCAUCUGCCAGCAUGACCCGGCUCGCCCGAUCACGAACCCACUCCACCUCAAGUAGCAUUGGCUCUGGAGAAAGUCCCUUCAGCAGGUCUGUGACCAGCAAUCAGUCAGAUGGAACUCAAGAAUCCUGUGAGUCCCCUGAUGUCCUGGACAGACACCAGACCAUGGAAGUGUCUUGCUAAGCAGAUGCUCCUCCCCUGGACCAUGCAAGUCCCUCCUCCUUGAAAUGACCACUCCAUAAUAGAACAUUU
rnacentral:lncRNA from 1 species